rnacentral:rRNA from 1 species
GACGAACGCUGGCGGCGUGCCUAAUACAUGCAAGUAGAACGCUGAAGGAGGAGCUUGCUCUUCUGGAUGAGUUGCGAACGGGUGAGUAACGCGUGGGUAACCUGCCUGGUAGCGGGGGAUAACUAUUGGAAACGAUAGCUAAUACCGCAUAACAGUAGAUGUUGCAUGACAUUUGCUUAAAAGGUGCACUUGCACCACUACCAGAUGGACCUGCGUUGUAUUAGCUAGUUGGUGGGGUAACGGCUCACCAAGGCGACGAUACAUAGCCGACCUGAGAGGGUGAUCGGCCACACUGGGACUGAGACACGGCCCAGACUCCUACGGGAGGCAGCAGUAGGGAAUCUUCGGCAAUGGACGGAAGUCUGACCGAGCAACGCCGCGUGAGUGAAGAAGGUUUUCGGAUCGUAAAGCUCUGUUGUAAGAGAAGAACGAGUGUGAGAGUGGAAAGUUCACACUGUGACGGUAUCUUACCAGAAAGGGACGGCUAACUACGUG